UAAGAAACCUGGCAGAGGAGAUAACAUGAUCAGGAAGGCGGUUUUUCCAGGACGACACAUACCUAAUGCACACCGGUUGUGCUGACCCCUGUGAUUUCCCCAAAUAUGUAAAACUCGACUGCAUAUGUGUGUUAGUAGAAGAUACCAUUUGUACUCUCCCUUA